CCUACGGGAGGCAGCAGUGGGGAAUAUUGGGCAAUGGGCGCAAGCCUGACCCAGCAACGCCGCGUGAAGGAAGAAGGCUUUCGGGUUGUAAACUUCUUUUCUCAGGGACGAAGCAAGUGACGGUACCUGAGGAAUAAGCCACGGCUAACUACGUGCCAGCAGCCGCGGUAAUACGUAGGGGGCAAGCGUUAUCCGGAUUUACUUGGUGUAAAGGGGUUGUAGGUGGGGACGAAAGUCAGAGGGGAAAACCAAGGGCUCAAACUGUGGCCUGCAUUUGAAACUGAGUUUCUUGAGUAGUGGAGAGGUAGACGGAAUGCGUAGUGUAGCGGUGAAAUGCGUAGAUAUUAGGAGGAACACCAGUGGCGAAGGCAGUCUGCUGGACAGCAACUGACGCUGAGGCGCGAAAGCGUGGGUAGCAAACAGGAUUAGAUACCCUUGUAGUC
rnacentral:rRNA from 1 species